UAAAGAAAAUGCUGCAUGUGUCCUAAGAUUACAGAAAGAAGAGGGCUCCUAGAAGUUUCAAAAAAAAAGAGUAAUCGUAACACAUGGUUGUGAAGCUCUUGUUUUCAAAGCCAAGCUGGCCAGCCAGGACAUGAGUAAGUGAGUUAGUCAACAACACAGCUUCUCUGGCUUGAGAAGUGAAAUAGGUACCUGCUUACUAAAAC
rnacentral:lncRNA from 1 species